rnacentral:rRNA from 1 species
GAGUUUGAUCCUGGCUCAGAUUGAACGCUGGCGGAAUGCUUUACACAUGCAAGUCGAACGGCAGCACGGGGGCAACCCUGGUGGCGAGUGGCGAACGGGUGAGUAAUACAUCGGAACGUGCCCAGUCGUGGGGGAUAACGUAGCGAAAGCUACGCUAAUACCGCAUACGAACUCUGGUUGAAAGCGGGGGAUCGCAAGACCUCGCGCGAUUGGAGCGGCCGAUGGCAGAUUAGGUAGUUGGUGGGGUAAAGGCCUACCAAGCCGACGAUCUGUAGCUGGUCUGAGAGGACGACCAGCCACACUGGGACUGAGACACGGCCCAGACUCCUACGGGAGGCAGCAGUGGGGAAUUUUGGACAAUGGGCGCAAGCCUGAUCCAGCCAUUCCGCGUGCAGGAUGAAGGCCCUCGGGUUGUAAACUGCUUUUGUACGGAACGAAAAGGCUCUGGUUAAUACCCGGGGCUGAUGACGGUACCGUAAGAAUAAGCACCGGCUAACUACGUGCCAGCAGCCGCGGUAAUACGUAGGGUGCAAGCGUUAAUCGGAAUUACUGGGCGUAAAGCGCGCGUAGGCGGUUGUGUAAGUUGGAUGUGAAAUCCCCGGGCUUAACCUGGGAAUGGCAUUCAAAACUGCACGGCUAGAGUACGGGAGAGGGGGGUAGAAUUCCAGGUGUAGCGGUGAAAUGCGUAGAGAUCUGGAGGAAUACCGAUGGCGAAGGCAGCCCCCUGGCCUGAUACUGACGCUGAGGUGCGAAAGCAUGGGGAGCAAACAGGAUUAGAUACCCUGGUAGUCCAUGCCGUA